GGGAUUAUGGGACAAAACAGUUCCUCAAUGUCUAUGGUGGUUAUGGCCCUGCUGUAAACUUAUUUCCUUUCAGUCCAAAAAAAGAAUGUUUCCUAAAAUAAAAUUAAUUGAACUGGGUUAACUAGAAACAUCACUUUUACCUAAACUCUUGCAGAUUAACAAAAGGCACACAUGCAUGUGCUAAAAUACUUAAAAAGAUCAUCACUGCAUCAGCAACUAUACCAUUACUGCCUUUAAAUAAAGCAGCACAGUGUUUCUCUGCUCACCCUGGACUGAAGCACAAGCUCUACUCUUCAGCACAACUUCACAAAUCUCAGACAACAGAAUAUUAAACACUAACAGAUCUCUAGCAAAAACACACUCAACAUUUACUCUCCUGAUCAUUGUUAAUCAAAGCAAAGAAGAGCAAGAAAUUACCUUAGCAAUAUUUAUAAGCAUUAAAUCUUGAGAUCUGAGAAUCUGCUAUAUGAUGAUACCAUCAGUCAAUAUCCCAGAAUAUUCCUUGGCUUCCUUUUCCGUUGCAAAUGUGCCUUAUAGAUGAACAGUUACAGAAGCUUGUAUGCUCAGGUGAUAUGGAGUGUGUGAACACCAUUGGCUCCUACAAUUGCACGUGUCGUGAAGGAUAUCGUGAGACAAGAACAGACUCAGGAUGUGCAGAUAUCAAUGAGUGUAAAGAUCCAGAUGUUUGCGGCACAAACGCCGAAUGCGUCAAUCAUCCAGGCGGAUACAGCUGCAGAUGUCACCAGGGUUACAGUAACUACGGCAAUGACCAGUCGAAAUGCAUCAGCGAGCAGAUGGUGCAGUUCUGUCAAUGAGAGUCUCAUUUGUGGAAGACGACGUCUGGCGUCCAUUAUCAGACGGACAGAGAAAUCCUUCACUUUUUCUGGAGAAAUGAUGAUCUGUGAAUCUGAUUUAUAUCAGGCCUGUUUCUUAUUUCCUCCUCUGAAAUACAAUAAAGUCAACAACAAAUGAGAAGUUUUGUUUUCUAGUUGUUCAUGUAAAUAGCAGGUGCUGAACUCACUCAUUUCAUUUCAAAUGUGCUUUAUUGGCAUGUUAGUGUGUGUUGCCAAUGCAUUUGCAAUGAAUCUCGAACAGAUGAGGAGAAGUUAUGAAAUGACUAAAUAAAAAGAAACAAACAUGUUUCUGUCUGUAAUGCUAAACCAACAGAUGCGCUUUGGAGGAGGAUUCGGUUCAGAACUACAAACAUGAAUAAAAAGUGUUUAAAAACUACAAACAUGGCAGAUGAGCACGUCCAACGGUUAAGUAGAGAGGAUUAGAUUAAGGGGUUUAAAUUAAAAAAUAUUGAUUUAAUGUUAUCCGUGUUAUGUUUCAUCUGCAUCAACAAUGUGGACUUUUAUAAAGAUCUGUUUGGCCAUUAACCUUUAAACGCAUCAUUAUUCUUAUCAUGAAAAACCCACGACUGGCAGAUCAACGUGCGACUUCUUUUCUCUCCAGUAUGGUUCA